rnacentral:rRNA from 1 species
GAUGAACGCUGGCGGCGUGCCUAAUACAUGCAAGUCGAGCGAACGGACGAGAAGCUUGCUUAUCUGAUGUUAGCGGCGGACGGGUGAGUAACACGUGGAUAACCUACCUAUAAGACUGGGAUAACUUCGGGAAACCGGAGCUAAUACCGGAUAAUAUUUUGAACCGCAUGGUUCAAAAGUGAAAGACGGUCUUGCUGUCACUUAUAGAUGGAUCCGCGCUGCAUUAGCUAGUUGGUAAGGUAACGGCUUACCAAGGCAACGAUGCAUAGCCGACCUGAGAGGGUGGUCGGCCACACUGGAACUGAGACACGGUCCAGACUCCUGCGGGAGGCAGCAGUAGGGAAUCUUCCGCAGUGGGCGAAAGCCUGACGGAGCAACGCCGCGUGAGUGAUGAAGGUCUUCGGAUCGUAAAACUCUGUUAUUAGGGAAGAACAUAUGUGUAAGUAACUGUGCACAUCUUGACGGUACCUAAUCAGAAAGCCACGGCUAACUACGUG